UUUUGACAUCGGUCUACACUGCUGAGGUCAUCGCCCCAGGAAUCUCUGGCAGGGUCUCCUCACGCCUGCCUUGUUCUUUCUGGUUCCACAGUUUGGAUGAAGCAUCAUCUCUGAUAACUGAGUAUUCAAAGCAUUGUGGGAAGCCUGUGCCAGCAGACACAGCUCCCUCUGAGAUCCUGAAGACAUUCCUUGGAUCGUAGUCAAACAAACAAGUUUUUGAAACCAAGAGGAAGGUCGGAGUCUGCUGCUAAUUAAUCAUAUUUAUUGUAGUGUACAAAUUGUGCAAUCUGUAUUUUGUUAUCCUGCAAGGAAUAAAUAAAACUUCAAUAUUGACAUGGCUGACCUGAAUAUCUCACAGGGGACCAGAGAGGACUCUCCAGCAGUUGGGAACACUGAAGGCUUCCAGGAGACCUAGCUCAGGCCCCAGCACCCAUCUGGGAGCUCACAACUUAAAAAAAUCCAGUUCCGAGGUUGCAUUCUCUUCUGGCUGCAUGGGUACCAGGCAUGUACAUGUUCAUGUACAUAUGUAUAUGCAGGCAAAACACUGGGGCAGUUAAAGAU
rnacentral:lncRNA from 1 species